CGGAAAUUAGCGUAGUGGUAGCGCACCUGCCUUGGGAGCAGUAGGUCACAUGUUCAAUUCAUGUAUUUCCGA
rnacentral:tRNA from 1 species